AUACGUAGGGGGCGAGCGUUGUCCGGAUUUACUGGGCGUAAAGGGUGAGUAGGCGGUUAUAUGUGUCAGAUGUAAAAGGCUAUGGCUUAACCAUAGUUAGCAUUUGAAACUGUAUGACUUGAGGGCAGGAGAGGGAAGUGGAAUUCCUAGUGUAGCGGGGAAAUGCGUAGAUAUUAGGAGGAACACCAGUGGCGAAGGCGACUUACUGGACUGUAACUGACGCUGAGUCACGAAAGCGUGGGUAGCAAACAGGAUUAGAUACCCUGGUAGUCCACGCUGUAAACGAUGAGUGCUAGGUGUUGGCCAGCGAUGGUCAGUGCCGCAGUAAACACAUUAAGCACUCCGCCUGGGGAGUACGGUCGCAAGACUGAAACUCAAAGGAAUUGACGGGG
rnacentral:rRNA from 1 species